rnacentral:rRNA from 1 species
CCAGACUCCUACGGGAGGCAGCAGUGGGGAAUAUUGCACAAUGGGCGCAAGCCUGAUGCAGCCAUGCCGCGUGUAUGAAGAAGGCCUUCGGGUUGUAAAGUACUUUCAGUCGGGAGGAAGGUGUCAAGGUUAAUAACCUUGGCAAUUGACGUUGCCCGCAGAAGAAGCACCGGCUAACUCCGUGCCAGCAGCCGCGGUAAUACGGAGGGUGCAAGCGUUAAUCGGAAUUACUGGGCGUAAAGCGCACGCAGGCGGUUUGUUAAGUCAGAUGUGAAAUCCCCGGGCUCAACCUGGGAACUGCAUUCGAAACUGGCAGGCUGGAGUCUUGUAGAGGGGGGUAGAAUUCCAGGUGUAGCGGUGAAAUGCGUAGAGAUCUGGAGGAAUACCGGUGGCGAAGGCGGCCCCCUGGACAAAGACUGACGCUCAGGUGCGAAAGCGUGGGGAGCAAACAGGAUUAGAUACCCCAGUA